rnacentral:rRNA from 1 species
GUGCCAGCAGCCGCGGUAAUACGGAGGGUGCAAGCGUUACUCGGAAUCACUGGGCGUAAAGGGUGCGUAGGCUGGCCUUUAAGUCAGAUGUGAAAUCCAAUGGCACAACCAUUGAACUGCAUUUGAAACUGAGAGCCUAGAGUUCAGAAGGGGCAGAUGGAAUUAGUGGUGUAGGGGUAAAAUCCGUAGAUAUCACUAGGAAUAUCAAAAGCGAAGGCGAUCUGCUGGGAUGAUACUGACGCUGAGGCACGAAAGCGUGGGGAGCAAACAGGAUUAGAUACCCCUGGUAGUCC